rnacentral:tRNA from 6 species
CAGCCCGUAGCUCAACUGGAUAGAGCACCGACCUUCUAAGUCGGAUGUCGGGGGUUCGAGUCCCUCCGGGCUGGCCA